rnacentral:rRNA from 1 species
UACAGAGGGGGCAAGCGUUAUUCGGAAUUAUUGGGCGUAAAGGGCGCGUAGGCGGCCUGGCAAGUGGAAGGUGAAAUCCCUCGGCUUAACCGAGGAACUGCCCUCCAAACUGCUUGGCUUGAGUCCGGGAGAGGUGAGUGGAAUUCCCAGUGUAGCGGUGAAAUGCGUAGAUAUUGGGAGGAACACCAGUGGCGAAGGCGGCUUACUGGUCCGGUUCUGACGCUGAGGCGCGAAAAGCGUGGGGAGCAAACAGG